rnacentral:rRNA from 1 species
CAAUAGCGUAUAUUAAAGUUGUUGCAGUUAAAAGCUCGUAGUUGGAUUUCUGGGAGAGUGCCAAUGUCCGCCGACGUGCGUGCGCAGCGGCGCUCUUUCAUCCUUCUGUUAACGGCUCUUGGCAUUCAUUUGCUGGUGUCGGGCUCAGAUAUUUUACCUUGAGAAAAUUAGAGUGUUUCAGGCAGGCUAGGCCGGAAUACAUUAGCAUGGAAUAAUGGAAUAGGACUACGGUCUCUUUGUUGGUUUGAGGGACUGCAGUAAUGAUUAAUAGGGAUAGUUGGGGGCGAUUAGUACUUAACUGUCAGAGGUGAAAUUCUCCGAUUUGUUAAAGACUAACUUAUGCGAAAGCAUUUGUCCAAGGAUGUUUUCUAUUAAUCAAGAACGAAAGUAGGGGA